ACCUGCGGAGGGAUCAUUACACAACAAAAUAUGAAGGCCUGGCUUUCGCGGCCGGCUGAAGUAUUUUUUUCACCCAUGUCUUUUGCGCACUUGUUGUUUCCUGGGCGGGUUCGCCCGCCACCAGGACCAAACCAUAAACCUUUUUUUCUUAUGCAGUUUCCAUCAGCGUCAGUAAAAACAAUGUAAUUAUUACAACUUUCAACAACGGAUCUCUUGGUUCUGGCAUCGAUGAAGAACGCAGCGAAAUGCGAUACGUAGUGUGAAUUGCAGAAUUCAGUGAAUCAUCGAAUCUUUGAACGCACAUUGCGCCCUUUGGUAUUCCAAAGGGCAUGCCUGUUCGAGCGUCAUUUGUACCUUCAAGCUUUGCUUGGUGUUGGGCGUUUUUUUGUCUCCCUCUUUCUGGGAGACUCGCCUUAAAACGAUUGGCAGCCGGCCUACUGGUUUCGGAGCGCAGCACAUUUUUUGCGCUUUGUAUCAGGAGAAAAGGACGGUACUCCAUCAAGACUCUACAUUUUUCACUUUUGACCUCGAAUCAGGUAGGGAUACCCGCUGAACUUAAGCAUAUCAA
rnacentral:rRNA from 1 species